UUCCGCCUACGGGAGGCAGCAGUGAGGAAUAUUGGUCAAUGGACGAGAGUCUGAACCAGCCACGUAGCGUGAAGGAUGACUGCCCUAUGGGUUGUAAACUUCUUUUAUAUGGGAAUAAAAUGUUCCACGUGUGGGAUUUUGUAUGUACCAUAUGAAUAAGGAUCGGCUAACUCCGUGCCAGCAGCCGCGGUAAUACGGAGGAUCCGUGCGUUAUCCGGAUUUAUUGGGUUUAAGGGGAGCGUAGGUGGAUUGUUAAGUCAGUUGUGAAAGUUUGCGGCCCAACCGUAAAAUUGCAGUUGAAACUG
rnacentral:rRNA from 1 species